UACAGAUUGAAUCUAGGACAGCCAGGG
rnacentral:piRNA from 1 species